rnacentral:rRNA from 1 species
UACGGGGGGGGGCAAGCGUUGUUCGGAAUUACUGGGCGUAAAGGGCUCGUAGGCGGCCAACUAAGUCCGACGUGAAAUCCCAAGGCUUAACCUUGGAACUGCGUCGGAUACUGGAUGGCUUGAAUUCGGGAGAGGGAUGCAGAAUUCCAGGUGUAGCGGUGAAAUGCGUAGAUAUCGAGAGGAACACCUGCGGCGAAGGCGGGUUGCUGGGCUGACACUGACGCUGAUGCGCGAAAGCUAGGGGAGCGAACGGG